CAGCAGAUUUAGGAGCGUAUAGGGUGCGUAUGUUUACUAGUUCUUUUUUUUUGUAGCAACACUUUGAUAUAUUUGUUUUUAUUUUUCCACAUGUCUUUCACUCAGCAGGGUUACCAUGGAUACUUACAUCUACAUCUGGGCAAUGGUAUUAAUGGAUGACAGACGUCCAAGUAUACAAACAGCUAUGACAGAAAUUCUGCAACCGAUCACGUGAUAAACGCUUUGCUUUAAAUAGUCUUAAGCGUUUCAAAGACCUGUAAAUGAAUUCAGGCAAAACUUGAAAUUAAACAAAACUCUGGAUAAUAUAGGUUUGUUAUUGAGAGCCCAAUCUACCUUGUAUGUUUUUGUUUCGUAAAACUUUGUGUUCGGUGUUUGCUGUUUUGUCAGGGAUUUGGUUACGGUGAGUGGCUACUUGGUGGUGUUGUGACUGUAUUUGUUGUGUUUGUGUUUAGGGCGCGGUGUUUGUGGCGGUGUUUCGGUAUUUGUGAUGGUGUUUGUGGUGUCUUCAAUGUAAUAUUUUCGGUUGUAUACGUCAUGGUUUGUGUUGUUUUGUUGGGGUUUUAGUUGGUGCGAAUUGUUUGUGGCAUUGGGUUGUUUGUCGUUCGUUCCAUUACAAGGUGUUUGUCUUUUUGUAACAGACAUAAGGUGCAGACGGCAUCUGGGUAAGCGCGCGCAAUUGUUCAUUUUAUUUCUGCUUUUUAUUCGUUUAACUUUGUAUUGCUGCUCUUUUUUUACUAGAAAGUUGGGGGUAGAUCUACUUGGAAAAUAAAGACGCAGACGACUUGAAGAAUAAAGACGCUGACGGAUGUUGAGGUACAGACCAAAUAAAUGCGUUUCUCCUUAUUAUGAACAGGUGUGUGUAUUGCUACUUAUAUUACCUUACUUUGCAUGCAUUUCUCUGCAGAUUUUUCCAAAGUGGUGGUUGGUGUUGACUACGAGCACGUGUGAAGGUAGCAUGUUAUAGUUAGAACAAUAGUCAUGUAGAUGGUGCAACUAUGGUACUUGAUACCUACUACAAGCGUGUGUACGGAUGUCAUGUUGUUAUGGACGGUGCAGCUAUGGUGGCAGAUGUUGACCAUACAAGCACGUGCAAGGAUUUCACAAUGGUUUAGUGAACGGUUUUCUCGGGCGCAAUGAGUUUCUGGCUUUGGUGGAAGUAAAACCCGAGGUAUCUGACGAGAAACUCACAGCCCCGGACUAUCCACCGAGCAACAGUUUCCUGGACCAUACACCAGGAGGAAAAACUACAGCUGGUACCAUAAAGAGGUACACUAGGUACCCUAUCGAUGCCGGUCACCAGAGACACGCUAGUACCCAAUCGAUGCCGGUCACCAGAGACGCACUAGUACCCAACCGAUGCCGGUCAUAUGAGGUGCGCCGGACUCCUUAUGUCAACAUAGUAAUCAACUGUUUUCAACAAGGUUUAAAAAGGCAAGAAAACAGUGUUUGACAUUAUUGGAAGACUUGGAAAACAAUCGGUUACAGAAAACAAAUGUCAUCAUGCCGUCCUGUGCUUGUUGUAUCUGACAGCUGACAGUCUGAUGC
rnacentral:lncRNA from 1 species